AUUGAACGCUGGCGGCAGGCCUAACACAUGCAAGUCGAACGAGUGGCGGACGGGUGAGUAAUGUCUGGGAAACUGCCUGAUGGAGGGGUAUAACUACUGGAAACGGUAGCUAAUACCGCAUACCAUCGGAUGUGCCCAGAUGGGAUUAGCUAGUAGGUGGGGUAAAGGCUCACCUAGGCGACGAUCCUUCGCUGGUCUGAGAGGAUGAACAGCCACACUGGAACUGAAAAGCGGUCCAGACGCCUACGGGUGGAAGCAGUGGGGAAUAUUGCACAAUGGGAGAAAGCCUGAUGCAGCCAUGCCGCGUGUAUGAAGAAGGUUUUCGGAUUGUAAAGCACUGUAAGUAGGGAGGCGUUUCCAACAGAAUAAGCACCGGCUAACUUCGUGCCAGCAGCCGCAGUAAUAC
rnacentral:rRNA from 1 species